GAUGAACGCUGGCGGCGUGCCUAAUACAUGCAAGUCGAGCGAACAGACGAGGAGCUUGCUCCUCUGACGUUAGCGGCGGACGGGUGAGUAACACGUGGAUAACCUACCUAUAAGACUGGGAUAACUUCGGGAAACCGGAGCUAAUACCGGAUAAUAUAUUGAACCGCAUGGUUCAAUAGUGAAAGCCGGUUUUGCUGUCACUUAUAGCUGGAUCCGCGCCGCAUUAGCUAGUUGGUAAGGUAACGGCUUACCAAGGCAACGAUGCGUAGCCGACCUGAGAGGGGGAUCGGCCACACUGGAACUGAGACACGGUCCAGACUCCUACGGGAGGCAGCAGUAGGGAAUCUUCCGCAAUGGGCGAAAGCCUGACGGAGCAACGCCGCGUGAGUGAUGAAGGUCUUCGGAUCGUAAAACUCUGUUAUUAGGGAAGAACAAAUGUGUAAGUAACUAUGCACGUCUUGACGGUACCUAAUCAGAAAGCCACGGCUAACUACGUG
rnacentral:rRNA from 1 species